AAAACACACCCAUAAACAUUUAGAACAUUCUAGAGAGAGAAAGGGAGGAGAAAUUUAGAGAGAAAUCAAUUUUGACCAAAAUCUAAGCCCCGAAUCGCGAAGCUCAUGAAGAGAAAAGUGUUGUACGUCGCGUUGCCUUCAAUUUGAGCUAAAAAUCAGCCAAGAAGAAGAUUGUUGAAGUGGUUGCUGCAUACUUAAGAUUUUGGGCGAAACGGGAAUUGAAUCUGGACGAGCGUAAUGCGCAACUAAGGUACUCCCAGGUGAGUUGAAGACAGUAUAGAAGAUGUUCCAGUGCAGACGGCAAACUCUAUUUGUUCCCGGAGUGCUGCCGAGUCAGGGUUUGUAUGUUAUGCUUUCUGGAUUACGUUAGAGACUUUGCAGACAACGUCGUGGGUAUUGGUUAUCAGUCUGUAAGCGGCUCCGUCAGCCGAUAUGUCGGUCUGUGUUAUGUACCGAAUCUUUUAUGAUCACAGAUUUGUUCGGCUUGGAAGCUACGAGAAAGAAUAUUUCUGGAAAAAAAAAAUUACGGUGUAUUUUAUCUUAUUUGAUUUAAAAAGUUUGACGUGAUUUUAUUUGCAGCAAAAGUCUGAGGGUUCGGCCCUAAGUAAGGGUCGGGUGCCCAUCACACCCUAGGGAUAUUGGGGUGUGACAUUGACCAAGCUUUUAGGAGAAAAUAAGUGCUUUUGGAGAGUAGCAGAAGCAGUUUUUCAGAAGCUAAAAAAAUAGCUUUUGCCCAAAAACACUUUUUUGAAAAGUACUUUUGAGAAAAAUACACAUAGAAGCACUUUUUAAAAGCUUGGCCAAACACUAAUUACUGCUCAAAAGUACUUUUUAAAUUAAUUGGCCAAACACAAACUGCUUUUAGCCAAAAAUACUUUUUUGAAAAGUACUUUUGAAAAAAAAAUACUUUUAAAAAUAAGCUGUUUUUAGAAGCUUGGCCAAACAAGCUAUUAACCACAUUGUUUGUACCUCUCCUAUUAUAUACUAUUAUAUAUAUAGAUAUAGAUUUCCACCCAAUAAACUCAAUUAUUAAUUAAAUAAAAAAAAUAUGUUCAGUUAUAACUUUGCAACAAGGAAUCCCAAAAGCCGCGUCUUUCAAUAUUCUUUAGAACCCUUUCGGGCCAAAAUUUCCACGGCUUCAGUUACAGAGAACAAAUCGCCACUCUACAAUCAACCACCAAAGUAGAAGAAUCGACCCACCGCUACCGCCGUGAUGAAUACCGAGAACCUUCAUAUUUUUUUGAUUCAGGUUCAGAAGGAGGAAAACGUGGGUUCACCAUGAUAUGAAUGCGCCUUUGUCUCAUUACUUCACAUAUACAGGCGAUAAUCUUAUUUAACCGGGAGUCAAUUGAGUAAUAAUUGUAGUGAUAUCCCCAUAAUACAUGCCUGUGUAAGAGUAAUUGAAUUGGAUAUGUUGUCGAAUCCAGCCAAAGAUGAUGUGGAAGUACUGCAUGGAAGGUGUGUCAUAUAAGCUUUACAUUCUUCGCAAAUUUCCCAUAAAGAGGUUGUGAUUGAUAGCACCUCAGUGGAUGCUGCUAAUCUAUAGAGCAAUAUUUUUUUUUUUUUUGGGUUAUUUGUUCUUCUGGUCAUGAAGAAAAGUUUGCUUCAUCGCUUUUGAGAUGUCCAAUAUUUAUUUAGUUCCCUGCUUUUUGAACUGAACUGUUAGUUAACUAUAAACUAAUUGAACUUCUCUUCUUUGGUGAAUUUACUUGCCAGAAUGCAGUAAUGGCAAAGCUCAUAGGUAUCCCAAAGGCAUCUUUAAAUUUGAGAUUUUUUUUAUUAGAAUUAUAUAUAUAUUACUUUGAUUGAUUGUAAAUUAGUUGCUAUAUUUGCCUUUAUUUUGAAUUUUUCCACUGCCAAAGCAUGAAUCAAUAUGGUUAUGUUUUUGUUCUCUGUCGCGGACAAUGGUGGAAUGCAGAUGAGAAGUUUAAUCCCCUCCUACCCAGGCAAUUCUCAAGGUGCAACUAUCUAUAUAUUUUCUUUUCUUUGUAAUUAUUAUUUUUCCUCAUAGAACCUUGAAUAUGUAUUUUAUAUUUAUUGAUUAGAAGGUUUGGAGAUGGGGCUUUGAACAAGUGAUUUAUCAUUUUGAUGAUACUUUUUUUUUAAACAAUAUAUAGAGUAUUAAUAGGGUGAAUAUCAAGAAAUUGACUAAAGUGAUUAAUUGAUGUGGGUCUAUUCAACUGAUAAAAAUUGUAAACCUAUCCACCCUAAUCCCAUCAUACUAUCACUGAUAUACUAAUUGACAAGUAGCAACAGACAAAGGCAAAUUGGAGCUACCACAGUUACUUGACAACUCCAAGGAUGAUCAUUUGAUUGUUGCACAACUAUUCGGUUUUGGCACUCUGAUUUUCAUGAGGUAAUACUCUACCAAUAUAACCUGUAUCAUGAAUUUAUUAAUCACAUGUCAUUUGUAAGUCCAUUAUCAAACUUAUUUUGACACUGACAUAGGUUUGUGAACUAAUUACAACCAUUCCUUGUAAUAAUAUUUUCCCGAAAUGGAGGCUUUGCUUGAUUUUUGAUUGGCAGAACACUUACACCUUUUAUCUUUGUUAUUUUGACACUGACAUAGGUUUGUGAACUAAUUACAACCAUUCCUUGUAAUAAUAUUUUCCCGAAAUGGAGGCUUUACUUGAUUUUUGAUUGGCAGAACACUUGCACCUUUUAUCUUUGUUAAUUUUUAUAUUAAAUUGGCGUCGAAUCACGGAAGAAGGAUAGAGAAUAUAUUGAACUUACACUUCUGUGUUAAGACUUUUCCACUUGAAGUGAUGUGGCUCCUCUCAUACAGUAGGAAACCUAUUUAUCUCUUCUUCUUUUUUGGCUUUUUAUCUUCAUUUUUAUCAUUUGGUGCUCUUUUACGAUUCUAUUGCGUAACUUAGAAAAUCCGUGGUGUGAUGAUUAGUCUCGAGAUGUUGCUUAGGCUGAAAACAAGAAAUUAUUUGUGACCAACAUAUUUCAAUGGUACAAGAUGGUCAACAAAUUAUAUAAAGGAAAAACGUGAGUUUCUCCUCAAUAUUUUUUCUUUUUUGGUUGCUAAAUCUAUUAAUAUCUAUACUAGCGAAAUAUUGUUAUUUGCUGUGAAAUACUCAAUUGUUUCAUCUUUUUAAUGGACUGAUACUUAUUCAAUAAUUUGGCAUCUGUCUAUCUUAUAUUCACGAUCUAUUGUAUGAAUAUGAUGCCAAUUAAAUUUACAAGCAGCAUAGGUAAUCACCAAUGUUCACGAUCAUUGUAUAUGGUGCUUAAUAAGUUUAUAACUUCACAUUUGUUUGAAUUUUAAUGUUUAGUUAUUUUACCAAAAUAUUAGCAAAUUUUAAGAACAUUGUGAUGAUAGCUACAAAAUAUUUAUACUAAUAUGUUCUAUAGGUUGUCGGAAUGACUCUCAUGUACCUAAAUCUAAUAAAGAUAUGCUCUCAUUCUAUAUAUAUUUUGCAGAAUCUUCUAGUUUGUGGAAAGUGAUGGCUAUGCUGAUGAUUAUUUGGUGGAUUUUCUAUUCACAAUGAAAUGAUUUGCGUCCAAAUUUCACCUUAAGGACCGAUGAAAUGGUUAUUUGCGUCCCCUAAGAUAGCCCACGUAACAGUACUUUUAGCAGUAACAUUAAUUUAGUUUAGUGUAUAAUCUCUAACUCUGCUGCCUGCAGUCACUAACUCUCCUUCUUGCCUCUUUGCUUUCCCUGUUAUUAAUUUUUCUUUUGAUGCCUUUUAAUAUUCCAUGCGUGAGGGGUUUGUAUCACCGUGUCAUUUGAAAGAGCGUAUGCAUCAUUAAGGAAUUGUUCUGAGCACACUGCCCAUAUUUGAUUUGUUUCUGAUGCAGGAGGCUUAUUAUCACAAAUCCAUACAGUAGAAAAGGAUUACUUAAGUCUUUUACAAGAAAUAAACUACAUAUAAAGCUGGUCUGUGGAGGAGUAAUAUGACACUUCUUAUAGACUAGGAAAUGUGUUUUUCAUUUAUCUCCUUUUUCCCUUUCGUCUUUAUUUUCUUUUGUAUUUUUCCUCUGCUCUUCUCUUUUUGCUCUUUUCUUAUUUUAUUAUCACGUAUGUGCUAUUGUGCUUUGAUAAAAUAGGUAGUCAAGGGUCACUUUAUAGUUCUCUUAAUUACACCUGUUCGUAUUUUUUAAAAGUCUCUAAGAGAAGUGUUUACCCACAUUGCUUUUCUCUUCAUUCUUCAUAUUUUAGCCUCUCUUUGUUUUUUUUUUUGGUGCUAUGUUAAAAUAAAUCACUUUUCUAAUUAUCAAAAAUCACUUUUCUAAUUAUCUUAAUUACACCCUUUUGGUCUUCCUUUAACAUUUUAAAGAAAAAUGCUUAUACAAAUUUGAAGAUAUACGACCCUCCACAUUUUCUUGCUCACCCUUAUUUUUACACCACAAUUGAUAAGGGAACCAGAGGUAAAGUUUACUGUCUACUCCCGUAAUAGAAGUGCUGAUACAUUAUGCAUAUUGUAGUAUGUGCUCUAAAUAAUUCCUAUUUAACUGAACUCAAAUAUAUAUUGUUUAUAAGCAUUUUCUUUUUCAUGAAAAAAGGGUAUAAUAAAUUUAAACAAAUUUUUCCAACCGCGUGAAAUGCGGGCUCAUUGACUAGUAUAUAUAUAAAGCAGGGCCCUCAGCUAGUGACGUAGCAUCUCUCGCUGAUCAGAAAACGUAUUUAUCUCUUCUCUCAGAUUUGAGGACUUUUCUUACCGAUUUCACAGAAAAAAAAAAAGGAACAAUUAUUAAAAUCUAAAAAUUAAGGUUCAGUCGCAACGUCUAAAUAAUAAGGAAGCAGAAAAGGCACUCCCUUUCUCCAUUCUUUGUAACCUGUUCGCUACCAAAUUCUUCUUCGUUUCCAACUUCUUCUUCGUUUCAACACCAACCACACCAGCAAUAUAGUUAAUCAAUUUAAACAAUCAAUCAGCCAUUUCAGUUUCAAUCGCGAAGAAAUCAACAGUACUAAAAAAAAAAAAAAACACUGACCCCAACAAUCGUUUCAAACCAAAGCCUAAAAAUCUGUUGCAUCUAAGGGCGAGAAAAAGUCAACAAGGAAGAGUGUUUUACCAUCUGUGAGAAAUAUUGAAGCAGCCCUUAUAUUGGGUUUCACCAUUUUUUCGCCUCAUUCGUCGGAGCCGGAGCAACAAUCCACCGGGUCACGGAGAUUCUGUGUGGGCUAUAAGAUAUGCUAUGCAUGGAAAUCCUCCAUUCUUUUAUGAGAAAUUUGAGGAAGAAGUUGAAGAUAUUGCUUGUGUAUUGAAGAGGCAGAUCAGAAAGAUUUACAGGCAACUUAAUGCAAAUUUCCAUAGGGGAACUGUGUGAGAGAAAACAGAGGCAUAGGGUGCAAGCAUAAUGUAAAAAAAGCUUUUGUAGGGGCACGUUCAAGGGUGACAAUGAGAUUGAGAGAGGAGAAAAUAUUAAGACAGAAUUAGAGAACGCCAUCAUACAUUUGAGGAGUUCAAUAAGUAUUAUCUGGAAGAACGUCUAUCCUACUUCAACAUGGUGCGUUGAUGAACUUGUGAAAAUCCUUAAUUAAGAGGACAAAAGGGCAUGCAAUUCUUCUUGUGUUUUAUCAUGUGGAUCCUUCUGAAGUUAAACAUCAGAAAAAGAGUUUUGCAGAAGCAUUUACGAGAUAUGCGAGGCAAAUUGAAGAAGAGAACUAGGAGAAGGGAUCAUCUAACUUUCAAAUUAUAUACCAUAUGGAGCAAAAAAUCAAUAAAUUUCUUGGUUCUUUUCCCUUUCUUCUAUUUAAUGUUCCUACAUAAAUUCUGUAAUUAGUGAUGAAUCUAUGAAAGAACAAAUGUCAUCAAAAUAAUGAUUAAAUUGAGGAGCAUACUAGCAUUCAUCAUCA